GACGUAGGGCGCGAGCGUUGUCCGGAUUUAUUGGGCGUAAAGAGCUCGUAGGCGGCUUGUCGCGUCGACUGUGAAAACUCGGGGCUCAACUCCGAGCUUGCAGUGGGUACGGGCAGACUAGAGUGCGGUAGGGGAGACUGGAAUUCCCGGUGUAGCAGUGAAAUGCGUAGAGAUCGGGAGGAACAUCAGUUGCGAAGGCGGCUCUCUGGACCAGCACUGGCACUGAGGCACGAAAGCGUGGGGAGCAAACAGGA
rnacentral:rRNA from 1 species